rnacentral:rRNA from 1 species
UUGACCUCAAAUCGGGUGAGACUACCCGCUGAACUUAAGCAUAUCUA